CAAUAGUGUAUAUUAAAGUUGUUGCAGUUAAGAAGCUCGUAGUUGGAUUUGUGGUUGGAGCGGUCGGUCCGACACUGAGUGUGGGUACUUGACUGCCUCCGUCCAUCCUUGGGUGGAACCUGUGUGGCAUUAGGUUGUCGUGCAGGGGAUGCCCAUCUUUUACUGUGAAUAAAUUAGAGUGUUCAAAGCAGGCUUACGCCGUUGAAUAUGCUAGCAUGGAAUAAUAAGAUAGGACCUUGGUACUAUUUUGUUGGUUUCUAGAGCUGGGGUAAAGAUUAAUAGGGAUAGUUGGGGGCAUUCGUAUUUAACUGUCAGAGGUGAAAUUCUUGGAUUUGUUAAAGACGGACUACUGCGAANGNAUUUGCNAAGGAUGUUUNCAUUG
rnacentral:rRNA from 1 species